CCUACGGGAGGCAGCAGUGGGGAAUAUUGCACAAUGGGGGGAACCCUGAUGCAGCGACGCCGCGUGAGUGAAGAAGUAUCUCGGUAUGUAAAGCUCUAUCAGCAGGGAAGAAAAUGACGGUACCUGACUAAGAAGCCACGGCUACCUACGAGCCAGCAGCCGCGGUAAUACGUAGGGGGCAAGCGUUAUCCGGAUUUACUGGGGGUAAAGGGAGCGUAGACGGCAGAGCAAGUCUGGAGGGAAAGCCCGCGGCCCAACCGCGGGACUGCUUUGGAAACUGACCGGCUAGAGUCCGGGAGAGGUAAGCGGAAUGCCUAGUGUAGCGGUGAAAUGCGUAGAUAUUAGGAGGAACACCAGUGGCGAAGGCGGCAUACUGGACAGUAACUGACGUUGAGGCUCGAAAGCGUGGGGAGCGAACAGGAUUAGAUACCCUAGUAGUC
rnacentral:rRNA from 1 species